GCCCUUCGGGGUGGAUUAGUGGCGAACGGGUGAGUAACACGUGGGCAAUCUGCCCUGCACUCUGGGACAAGCCCUGGAAACGGGGUCUAAUACCGGAUACGACACGGGACCGCAUGGUCUUCGUGUGGAAAGCUCCGGCGGUGCAGGAUGAGCCCGCGGCCUAUCAGCUUGUUGGUGAGGUAAUGGCUCACCAAGGCGACGACGGGUAGCCGGCCUGAGAGGGCGACCGGCCACACUGGGACUGAGACACGGCCCAGACUCCUACGGGAGGCAGCAGUGGGGAAUAUUGCACAAUGGGCGAAAGCCUGAUGCAGCGACGCCGCGUGAGGGAUGACGGCCUUCGGGUUGUAAACCUCUUUCAGCAGGGAAGAAGCGAAAGUGACGGUACCUGCAGAAGAAGCGCCGGCUAACUACGUGCCAGCAGCCGCGGUAAUACGUAGGGCGCAAGCGUUGUCCGGAAUUAUUGGGCGUAAAGAGCUCGUAGGCGGCUUGUCACGUCGGAUGUGAAAGCCCGGGGCUUAACCCCGGGUCUGCAUUCGAUACGGGCAGGCUAGAGUUCGGUAGGGGAGAUCGGAAUUCCUGGUGUAGCGGUGAAAUGCGCAGAUAUCAGGAGGAACACCGGUGGCGAAGGCGGAUCUCUGGGCCGAUACUGACGCUGAGGAGCGAAAGCGUGGGGAGCGAACAGGAUUAGAUACCCUGGUAGUCCACGCCGUAAACGGUGGGCACUAGGUGUGGGCAACAUUCCACGUUGUCCGUGCCGCAGCUAACGCAUUAAGUGCCCCGCCUGGGGAGUACGGCCGCAAGGCUAAAACUCAAAGGAAUUGACGGGGGCC
rnacentral:rRNA from 1 species